UACGAAGGGUGCUAGCGUUGUUCGGAAUUACUGGGCGUAAAGCGCGCGUAGGUGGUUGUCGUAGUCAGGUGUGAAAGCCUUGAGCUCAACUCAAGAAAUGCACUUGAUACUGGGCAGCUAGAGGACCGGAGAGGAUAGUGGAAUUCCCAGUGUAGUGGUGAAAUACGUAGAGAUUGGGAAGAACACCAGUGGCGAAGGCGGCUAUCUGGACGGUUUCUGACACUAAGACUCGAAAGCGUGGGGAGCAAACAGG
rnacentral:rRNA from 1 species